rnacentral:lncRNA from 1 species
UGAGAAGAAUUAUGAAACUGCUAUUUUGUUAUACAGAAUUGUUUUUUUAAGUGUUGUGUACUUUAUAAGUACAAAAUGAGCACAUCCACUACUGUAUUGCACAGAUUAGAAGAUUAAAUUUUGCAAUUUUUGAUGUUUUUAGUCAAAAUCAAGUCCAGUAACUCUGUUCAUCUGUGGUUAAUCUCUGAGUCAAAAGUCUUAACAUAUAUAAUGCAACUAUUAUCACACUGUCGUAGUAACUGGUCAGCAUUGUACCCCAUUAAGUCAAUAUAAAUGUUAAUAUUUCAAGUUUAGUCAUUGUCAGUUUAAACCAUUGCUAGGUAUUUUAAUUAUAUUGUUGAAAAAAUCAACAUCCUCAAUCAUGGUGAUACUGGCUAAGCAUAAUACAUUGUACAUGUUUUGGUUCUUGAAUGAAGUUUUAGGAACAGCAAUAUCUGAAUAAAAACAAUUGUUUUUAAUGCAAAAAUUCUUAAAAUUAUAGUAUUAAAUUUUCUUAUAUUGAAAGAGUAACAUAUUCAUGAUGAACGUAUACAUUAAAAUCAGCAGUUUACUCAGUAGCCAAUUUAUUUUACUUUAAAAAAACAAGAAAAAUGGCUGUGUCCAACAUAAAAAAUUAUACAAAAAAAAUAAAUUAAAAAAUCUUGGAAGAAUAGACAUGUUUUUUUUUGUUCUGAAGUAUUGUAAUAGUCUGUAUUGUUGAAUUAUUCCCAACAUAAAGUAUAUACUAUUAUAGUAUUAAUGAAUGGGUGUUUUUAUAAUGGCCCUGUUAUUUGUCCAAGGUCUGUUAUAAUGGUCGAGGAAGUCUGUAAUGGCCCGAGGCAACGCCGAGGGACAUUACAGACAUCCGAGGCCAUUAUUACUGACCGAGGACAUAUAACAGAGCCAUUAUUAAAAAAACACCCAUUUCUUAAUACAUUUAUUAACCAACUGAAUAAAAGUGUAUGUGUUAAUAUACCAAAUAUCCAAGAUAUUAAGUUGACAGAAGUUAUGUGUUGAAAAACAGGAGGAACAGUGAUCCCUAUAUAUGGUUCUUUAAUGUUGGUUGCUGGUUACUAAAUUAAAUAAAAUACAAAAAAAGUAUUAUACUCUUUACAACUUAAUUUUAUUAACUUUAUUAAAAACCCUAACUGUGCUGUACACAGACAAACCGGGCAUUAAUACAGGGCCAUUACAGAAAAACAAGGCCAUUACAGAAAAACAAUUACAGGGCCAUUACAGAAAAUAUGUUAUUUUUAAUAACCAGUCAUUUUUGGCAAUAAUGUACUUAGUUGGUUAAUAAAGUCUAAUAAAUUAAUUAGUUUUGCCCUUAGAUCUCAAAAUAUUCUCUGAGUUGUGCCUUAAAAUAAACAGGUUUUACUUUUACAUUCUUCUUAAUGGUUGAACAAAUGGUAGCUUCAUUAUUGUUUAAACUUGUGCCAUUCGAGGAAUUAUUGCAUCUUGAAAUUCUUAAAAAGAUUUCUGAAAUGUUUAUGGAAAGAGAAAAAGAUCUGAAAUAUUUAUUGAAAGAGAAUUUAUUUAUUAAAUGUAACAAUUUUGACGUUCAUUGCAUUUUUUCCAUUGCUUCUCAAGAUUGUACAGAUUUUAGAUAUAAACAGUGCAUGUAAAUAGGCUUUUAAUUUUAAUUUAAAUUUUUAACAUGCUAAAUUAUUGUAUUUAUGGGAGAUCUUACAAGAUUCAUUUUGUGUUCAAUUUAUUCACAUGUGGAAUAGGUGCAGAUUUUACUUUAGUAAAGAAACAGAAAAGAUGUUGCCUUUAACAGGAGCAUCAUGUCAUUAACAACGCAUUGUUUAUUAUCAAAGAUACUUGUUGAACCAUAAUUUGUAUUGACUAAGAUAUGAUACCAAUGGAUGUCCCUCUAGAAUAUUGUUGAUGCGUAACCAAAGUACAGAAGAUAUGUUUAAAUUAAAUAUAUUUGAAGAGUCACAUUUUAAAAGAAGGUUUUCUAUUUAUAUACUUACAAGUAUGACAUAUUCUUACAGUAAAUGAACAGCUGUUUAUUUUUUACAUGGAAGCUUCAAAUGACAAUGACCUCAAAAAUAUGUUUUGAUUCAAUUUUAAUUUAAUAAAAGUUCUUUCAAAUUGGUAAAAGUUUUGAUGGUAAAUUAAAUUGAAACAGGCUGAGGUCAAAUCCCUUGGGACAUAUGCGUUUGAUAAUUUGUAACUUUAUAUGAUUUCAGUGGCAUCCAUUGGUCUAUCUAUUCAUACAUGUUACAAAGGGUACAUUAUAUUAUGUAAACAAAGUUUUGUUCAAUUUAUCAUCAGAAAAAUAUUGAUAUUUUUAUGUGAAUCUCUGUUCUUUGCGUAAUACUCGCUCAAAACUGGAACAAAUUUGGUUUCAUUUAUUGUUUUGGUAACUGUAUUACUUUAUAUUUACAUCAAUUCAUCUUUUUACUUGUACAAUUAUAAAAAAUAACUAAAAGUGAAUAAUGCAAUACUAAUUAACCUAUCUAUAUAUAUUUUUUUGGGGUAAAACUGGUGUUUUGAUAAACCAAUUUAUAUACAUGUGUAAGCAGACAUUUUCAAUCUUAAACUAGACUAAUGCCUUGUACAUAAAGUCAUGUUGUAAUUGAUAGUUACAUUUUUUAAGGCCAUGGGAAAUUAAUUUCUUAUUUUUCAGAUUUUAUCUUGAAAGAAAAGGGGAGGUAAUAAACUUUCCCCAAUAUCUAUUAAACCAUAACUCUAUAUCUAUUAUACCAUAACUCAAUUUCGAAAGUAUUUUUCCAUGAGCAAUUAUUUCUUAGAAUAAAAAUUAAAAUCUGACAUGUCUAGAGAAAAUUUAUUGCUGUUCUACAAAAAAAAAAAAGAGUGCUUUGGACAUCUAAAGAGUAUGAAUUUGAAAAACAGGAAAUUAAUUUGAUGUUGCCUUAGUCAUGAAUUUUAUGUGUACCUUUUUAGUGCUGUUAUAUAUUGUCCCCCCAAAGUUCAGUGUUUUAAUGCUUUAAAAGUUUAUUCUGUGUAUUUUAUAGUGAGAAAGAAAGUAAAUAAGAAUUAUAUUGUAAUUUUUACAUGAAUAAAGUUGAUAGAAUUAG